GCGGCGGUAGCACAGAGACAGCAUUGCUGCUCCAUUACCAGCUGCUCAUAACCACCUCUUCCCCGUCAUCUCCGUGCUCGGGGAGCUUUGCAAAUCGUGCUAGGGAAGUGCUGAUGGCGUUGCCUUGGCCUGGCAGGUAGGAAGGAGAGGGGCUUGGUGCUGGGGGGGCGGCCCGGGGAGCCUGCAGUGGCUGCUCUGGGUGCAGGCUGCCAGCAGCACGGGCGAUCGCUGGUGUGGAGCAGCGUCGUGCCUCCGCUGUGCACGAAGGAAAAGCCCCAUCUUAAACAAAUGCGACGCUGCUCGUCUGGCAGGUAUGGCCAGAGCACCGUCCUGAGAGUUUGUUUUCCACGCUUUUAUUUGGAGCUCAAAUUAAGCUGCUGUGCCUGUUGUCUGGAGGGAAGGGAAGCAGAGCAGCAGCCUCCUCGCCCCUGCCGGGUGCCGGCGGCUUUUCCAGCCCCGCCGUGACUUCCCAGCCCCGUGCGCCGUGAGCCCAGCCUGCCCCCCGCCACUGCGCUGCACGCUCCCAAAAUCGCUUCGUUCCAGGGUUAGAAAAGACCCGGUUUUGUGUCCUCAGAGCUGGAUUUCACAGACACGUAACGGGAAAGGUCUUAAUGCCUUGAGCUUGAUCUGCUAAUCUGAAAGCAUGGGAAGUUUUUCAUAGGAAGAUUUGCUGCCUGGCUUUCACGGUGCGAGUAUGCACAAAUAGGUUUUAUUCCUGCGAUGGGGCAGAGCUGCUGGGUGCCUGCCACCAAGGUUACUGACAUUUGGGUCUCUGGUUUUGGUGGAGAUGCACAGAAAUACAUUUAAUGAGUAGGGGGUUCCAGAGAGUGGUACGGGUGGCUGGAAAUUGAGGGCAGGGACUGCUUAAGCGCUAACGUAUGGCGUAGCUUUGAUUCCUUUUUAUUUUUUUUAAAGGAAUGGAAAAAGCUAAGGGCUGCUGAUGAGCAGUUUUUCCUCCCCUCAUGACACGCUUGUCCUUAGAGCCUUGUCGGCCACCUCCAUUGCAGUGCUUUCUUGACAGUCACUCUCACGCCUCCUGGCCGUAAGUUCAAUGAUUUUGUGUGACGGGAGCACCCAGGGCCCCGUUUGGCACGAGGUGUUUAUGGCUUGAGCUGUGCGUGCAGCGGCGUCUGCUGCCCCAGUUGCUCCCAGGACGGGUUUUAUGCCUAGAGAGGCAGUUUUCGAGCCAGUUAAUUGCCAGGUUGUAAAACAGAAGGGGACGUGGGUGUCCCUGCCUUUCCCUGCGGACAAAUCCCUGCCGGUGUCUCUCGGGGUGGAAGCGUGGUGACAGGAGGAGCCUUGUCCCCAGGGGCAAGGUGAGCAGAGGGACGGGGACAGGACAGGACCAGCAGCAGCGCUGCCUUGGCUGGGAAGGCGCCGUGCUCCAGGCAGCUUGACUUUGAAUUGCAGAAGUGAUCCAGAUUUUAGUCUGUUGAAGAAUAAAAUGCCCUGUGAGCCGUGCCUUUUGGCUCGGGCUGCCUGACCGGCCGCCCUGCUCUGGGCCCCGUCCAGCGUCCUCUUUUUGAUGUUGGUCUCCGUGAGGAUUUACUGCAGGCUUCACAGCUGAAAAAGCGGCGCGGCUGGCGUGAAAGCCUUGCUAGGAUAAAACUUGAUAGGAUGAGAGGCCACCGAACGCCACCUCUGUCUGUGGCCAUCCCUCUAAUUACUGAAUUAACACCCCUGGGCGCAGCUUGCGGGCCCACCUGGGGCUCGGGGCUGUUGUGCUGGGCCAUGUAUGCACAAACACACAAGGAGAGGCCGCCCUUGGGGUAAAGCUGCUUAUUUUUGGGGGUGUUGGUGCUGUGCAGGCGGGGAGCAGCCCAGCUGGGGCUCCGUGGGACCCCCUGCAACAUGUGGCACAACAUCCUCCCCCUUUACUGCUGUUGGGAAGUGACACAGCAAACAAAGCAACUCCUGAUGGCCAUCGUGGGUUAUCCAGAGCCAAUCCUUCCCCCAGCCGCACGCCUCCAGGACAGACGGACGCCGAGUGACACGGAGCAAGGCAGGAGAGCCCAGCAUGACGCAGUCGAACUGCUGCUUGGUGGCACAGGUGGAGGUUAGGACAUUCAGGGUUUCUUUGAGCUUUGUAGUGAAGAAUCUGAAAACGUGAUUCAUCCCUCAAUCCGCGUCUCAGGCAUGCGGUGGUGAAGUUAGGAAAAAUCUGGGUAUGUAUAAAGCGUUUCCUCCUGGGGGCUGGGAAACCCUUAGGUGCAGCAUUUGUUAUUUUACUUAAUUGAGUUUGAAAUCCUCAAUGCUCAGAACAUGCCCGCUCAUGUCUGUUGCAGGAAAAACUCAAUUGCUCAAUAGGAAUGGCUUUUCAUCCUGCCGCACUAAGGAGAAACUAAGGUCAAAUCUAUUGAAAAGAAGAAUUACUGAUUUAUUUAUUUAUUUAUUUAUUUUGUCAUCUGCUCAGAACCAGGGAAAUGGCUUAGCAGCUACAGCUCGUGGUGAGGAAGGUCGUGUGUGUGAGGCAGCUCCUGAGAAGGAAGGCGAUUCUGUGCGGAUGCUCAGCCCUCUGGGUUUGCUGGCCAUGGGAAGAAACCAGCUUUAUGCAAAAGCACAAGCCCAGGCUGAAGAGGUAGCACGAUGUGAAUCAUUGCUCCUGGUGGUGCGCGCUCACAGCCGUGGCUGCCCGUGCCCCUGCUCCUGGAGCGACGCUGACGGCUCGUGCUCUGUGAACAAGAAAAUGAAGAAAA